UACGAAGGGUGCAAGCGUUACUCGGAAUUACUGGGCGUAAAGCGUGCGUAGGUGGUUGUUUAAGUCUGUUGUGAAAGCCCUGGGCUCAACCUGGGAAUUGCAGUGGAUACUGGGCGACUAGAGUGUGGUAGAGGGUAGUGGAAUUCCUGGUGUAGCAGUGAGAUGCGUAGAGAUCAGGAGGAACAUCCAUGGCGAAGGCAGCUACCUGGACCAACACUGACACUGAGGCACGAAAGCGUGGGGAGCAAACAGG
rnacentral:rRNA from 1 species